AUUGAACGCUGGCGGCAGGCUUAACACAUGCAAGUCGAACGAGUGGCGGACGGGUGAGUAAUGCUUGGGAAUCUGGCUGAUGGAGGGGGAUAACUACGGGAAACGGUAGCUAAUACCGCGUACCAUAGGAUGAGCCCAAGUGGGAUUAGGUAGUUGGUGGGGAAAAGGCUCACCAAGGCGACGAUCUCUAGCUGGUCUGAGAGGAUGACCAGCAAAUCGGGGACUAGAACCCGGCCCAGACCCCGACGGGAGGAAGCAGUGGGGAAGAUUGCGAAAGGGGGGCAACCUGUGGCAGCCAUGCCAGGUGAAUGAAGAAGGCCUGGGGGUUGUAAAGUUUUUUCGGUAGCGAGGCGUUAACUACAGAAGAAGCACCGGCUACCCCCUUGCCAGCAGCCGCGUAAUUC
rnacentral:rRNA from 1 species